rnacentral:rRNA from 1 species
UACGUAGGGGGCGAGCGUUGUCCGGAUUUAUUGGGCGUAAAGAGCGUGUAGGCGGCCAGGUAGGUCUGCUGUGAAAACUCGAGGCUCAACCUCGAGACGUCGGCGGAAACCAUCUGGCUAGAGUCCGGAAGAGGAGAGUGGAAUUCCUGGUGUAGCGGUGAAAUGCGCAGAUAUCAGGAGGAACACCGGUGGCGAAGGCGGUUCUCUGGGCCUUACCUGACACUGAGGAGCGAAAGCGUGGGGAGCGAACAGG